UUGGUGUGGCUUCCCUAUCUGAAUUUUGAACCAAGCUGCAGCCCCACCUCUUGAGCCGUCCCUGGUGGGAACAUUGGGAAAUAUACCAUGGUGGCAAUGUUGGAAGAUAUACUGUAUUCAUUUCAACACCACUCGUGUGUGGCACUGAGUUUUUUGAAGACGGCCUGACAUGGUUUUUAAUGCACACAAAAUAACAAAAUGGCUAAGCACGAUCUACAAAGAAGCAAAAAAGAAAGGGGUUGAAGAUGAAACGCGUCGGAAUGAGUCCAAAUGAGUAGACACCAUUAUUCACAACAUUACAGAUGAAGUAGUAGUCCUGGCAUCUCCGUGUCCUGUUGGAGAACUGUUGGCUAUUAUUUAAAUGUUGUCAAUUAAUGAAAUUCUGGUAUACAUUUCUAAA